GAAUUCCUGGUGUAGCGGUGAAAUCCGUGAUAUCAGGAGGAACUCCCAUGGCGAAGGCAGCAUACUGGUCGUUCCUGUCGCUGAGGCGCGAAAGCGUGGGUAGCAAACAGGAUUAGAUACCCUGGUAGUCCACGCCCUAAACGAUGGAUACUAAGCGUCGGAGGUAUCGACCCCUCCGGUGCCGCAGCUAACGCAUUAAGUAUCCCGCCUGGGGACUACGGCCGCAAGGUUGAAACUCAAAUGAAUUGACGGGGUCCCGCACAAGCGGUGGAGCAUGUGGUUUAAUUCGAUACUAACCGAAGAACCUUACCCAGAUUUGACAUCGAUGGCAAGCCAAAGAAAUUUGGCCCUCCCCACAAGGGACCUGAAGACACUUGUUGCAUGGCUGUCGUCAGCUCGUGCCGUGAGGUGUACGGUUAAGUCCGCCAACGAGCGCAACCCACGUCCUGUGUUACCAGCGAGAGAGUCGGGCACUUACAGGAGACCCCCGGUGUAAGCCGGAGGAAGGUGUGGAUGACGUCAAGUCAGCAUGGCAGUUACAUCUGGGGCUACACACAUGAUACAAUGGGCGAAACAAAGGGCAGCAAUUCCGCGAGGUGGAGCAAAUCCCAAAAUACGCCCUCAGUUCAGAUUACAGUUUGCAACUCGACUGUAUGAAGGCGGAAUCGCUAGUAAACGCAGGUCAGCUAUACUGCGUUGAAUACGUUCCCGGGUCUUGUACACACCGCCCGUCAAGUCACUUGAAUUGUCUUCACCCGAAGUGCGUGGCUUAACCGCAAGGAGAGAGCGUUCGAAGGUGAGGGGAGUAAGAGGGAUUAAGUCGUAACAAGGUAACC
rnacentral:rRNA from 1 species